GCAGAAGCAGGGCGUGAUCGAGGGUGCGAACCGAGAGAGCAGAAGAGAUGGGGCGGGUGAUGGAGAAGCUGAAGAUAUUCGUCGUGAAGGAGCCCGUCGUCGCCGCCUCUUGCCUCAUCGCUGGCGUCGGUGGUAGCUGGUGUGACUGGCAAGAGAAGAGACUAACCUGCAUCUUAUUAGUGUUCCUCGUGCUUUUAAUUCCUCUCUUUAUAUUCUCCUUCUACUUUUAGGCUUUUCAAGAUAGUGUGAUGUCUUUGGUUUUCUAUGUUCAGAAUGAUGUGGCUAAACUUAGACCACAUUUCUACUUUUGUUGACCACUACUAUGGGCAUUGAACAUAGCAAGUUCAGAAUUGUUCUGGAUCAGUUCAAAUAAGAAAAAUAUUUGGAAGAUA